rnacentral:rRNA from 1 species
CCUACGGGAGGCAGCAGUGAGGAAUAUUGGGCAAUGGACGAGAGUCUGAACCAGCCAAGUAGCGUGAAGGAUGACUGCCCUAUGGGUUGUAAACUUCUUUUAGAUGGGCAUAAAACGUUCCACGUGUGGGGUUUUGUGUGUACCAUAUGAAUAAGGCACGGCUAACUCCGUGCCAGCAGCCGCGGUAAUACGGAGGAUCCGAGCGUUAUCCGGAUUUAUUGGGUUUAAAGGGAGCGUAGGUGGAUUGUUAAGUCAGUUGUGAAAGUUUGCGGCGCAACCGUAAAAUUGCAGUUGAAACUGGCAGUCUUGAGUACAGUAGAGGUGAGCGGAAUUCGGGGUGUAGCGGUGAAAUGCUUAGAUAUCCCGAAGAACUCCGAUUGCGAAGGCAGUUCACUGGACUGCAACUGACACUGAGGCUCGAAAGUGUGGGUAUCAAACAGGAUUAGAUACCCGGGUAGUC